rnacentral:lncRNA from 1 species
CCCGUCUUUGUGAUUUUUUCCUCUGUUUGCCGAAAAGGAGAUUCCCGGGUCGGAAUAUUAUCGCUUUUCUACGAGAAAAAUGGCAUAAAAAUUGAUUUUAAACAGCGGUUGACAUGCUUCGAAGUACGGUAAUGGAAUAUUUAGAAUUUUUUUGUCACGAAUUGCGCCAUGCGCACGACCCUUAUUUACCAUUUCGGAUAGUGUCUGGGACGCACGAACAAAACGCCGCUAUUCGGAUAUAACGAUGGAUUAUUUUGGACCAAACCAACAUUUGUUAUUGAAGUGGCAGUCCUGGGAGUGCAUUCUGACGAAGACAACAAAAGGACCUGAGCCCUAGGACCAUGCCUCAGGACUACCUGGUAUGAUGACUCCUUGCUGUCCCCAGUCCACCUGGCCGUGCUGCUGCUCCAGUUUCAACUGUUCUGCCUGCGGCUAUGGAACCCUGACCUGUUCACCGGACGUGCUUGUUGCACCCUCGACAACUACUAUGAUUAUUAUUAUUUGACCAUGCUGGUCAUUUAUGAACAUUUUAACAUUUUAACAUUUUGACCAUGUUCUGUUAUAAUAUCCACCCUGCACAGCCA